AUUGAACGCUGGCGGCAUGCUUUACACAUGCAAGUCGAACGGUAACAGGCCGCAAGGUGCUGACGAGUGGCGAACGGGUGAGUAAUGCAUCGGAACGUGCCCAGUCGUGGGGGAUAACUACUCGAAAGAGUAGCUAAUACCGCAUACGAUCUAUGGAUGAAAGCGGGGGACCGUAAGGCCUCGCGCGAUUGGAGCGGCCGAUGUCAGAUUAGGUAGUUGGUGGGGUAAAGGCUCACCAAGCCGACGAUCUGUAGCUGGUCUGAGAGGACGACCAGCCACACUGGGACUGAGACACGGCCCAGACUCCUACGGGAGGCAGCAGUGGGGAAUUUUGGACAAUGGGCGCAAGCCUGAUCCAGCAAUGCCGCGUGCAGGAAGAAGGCCUUCGGGUUGUAAACUGCUUUUGUACGGAACGAAACGGCUCUGGUUAAUACCCGGGGCUAAUGACGGUACCGUAAGAAUAAGCACCGGCUAACUACGUG
rnacentral:rRNA from 1 species